UUGGAGGGAUACUUCAUAGCCACUGGUAUAAAGGAUGGAAGAAAAUACAACCUUUUUAUGCAAUGAAAGCCGUAAUGAAAUAACUUGCCACUAAAACAGGCAAAAAUUAAUAAAACAGAACCGAGCUGGGAACUUUGCAGCAGGACAGCACAGCAACACUUGCGAGAGACAAAAGCGAGGGAGCGGCAGCUGGGUGUGUCAGCUGGAAGGGCAAAGGCUGAUAGAGAAAAUCAUUUACUGUCAUCAGCACACAAUACAAACACUGAACCCAUUCUCACCCUGGUUGUUUGGGGCAGAGGUGGAACAACUUCGCUCUGGCAUCAUCUGGGCACAGAGCCUACCUGUCACCUGCCAGUGUGACCCUUGGCACAUGGCCUUUUACAGAUGAAAUUUGGACAUUGGGAUGAAUUUCUUCAUAGAAAGGAUGAUUAAACACUGGAAUGGGCUGYCCAAGGUKGGGGUAUCACCUUCCCUGGAGGUGGCCAAGGAAUGACUGGACGUGGCACUCAGUGCUCUGCUCUGAGUCGUCAAGGUAGGGGUUGGUCACAGGUUGGACUUGAUAGUU